AAGUCGUAACAAGGUUUCCGUAGGUGAACCUGCGGAAGGAUCAUUACUAGAGCAAAGGAUAGACAGCGCCCGCGGAGCUUGCUCCCUGGGGCUACCCUACUUCAGUAGGGUUUAGAGUCGUCGGGCCUCUCGAAGAAGCUCGGUCCUGAACUCCACCCUUGAAUAAAUUACCUUUGUUGCUUUGGCGGGCCGCCUCGUGCCAGCGGCUUCGGCUGUUGCGUGCCCGCCAGAGGACCACAACUCUUGUUUUUAGUGAUGUCUGAGUACUAUUUAAUAGUUAAAACUUUCAACAACGGAUCUCUUGGUUCUG
rnacentral:misc_RNA from 1 species